rnacentral:rRNA from 1 species
AUUGAACGCUGGCGGCAGGCUUAACACAUGCAAGUCGAGCGGGGGAAGGUAGCUUGCUACCGGACCUAGCGGCGGACGGGUGAGUAAUGCUUAGGAAUCUGCCUAUUAGUGGGGGACAACAUCUCGAAAGGGAUGCUAACACCGCAUACGUCCUACGGGAGAAAGCAGGGGAUCUUCGUACCUUGCGCUAAUAGAUGAGCCUAGGUCGGAUUAGCUAGUUGGUGGGGUAAAGGCCUACCAAGGCGACGAUCUGUAGCGGGUCUGAGAGGUAUGAUCCGCCACACUGGGACUGCGACACGGCCCAGACUCCUACGGGAGGCAGCAGUGGGGAAUAUUGGACAAUGGGGGGAACCCUGAUCCAGCCAUGCCGCGUGUGUGAAGAAGGCCUUAUGGUUGUAAAGCACUUUAAGCGAGGAGGAGGCUACUCUAGUUAAUACCUAGGGAUAGUGGACGUUACUCGCAGAAUAAGCACCGGCUAACUCUGUGCCAGCCGCCGCCGUAAAAC